AACGAACGCUGGCGGCAUGCCUAGCACAUGCAGGUCGAACGAUCCCUUCGGGGAUAGUGGCGCACGGGUGCGUAACGCGUGGGAACCUGCCCUUAGGUUCGGAAUAACUCAGAGAAAUUUGAGCUAAUACCGGAUAAUGUCUUCGGACCAAAGAUUUAUCGCCUUUGGAUGGGCCCGCGUUGGAUUAGCUAGUUGGUGGGGUAAAGGCCUACCAAGGCGACGAUCCAUAGCUGGUCUGAGAGGAUGAUCAGCCACACUGGGACUGAGACACGGCCCAGACUCCUACGGGAGGCAGCAGUGGGGAAUAUUGGACAAUGGGCGAAAGCCUGAUCCAGCAAUGCCGCGUGAGUGAUGAAGGCCUUAGGGUUGUAAAGCUCUUUUACCCGGGAUGAUAAUGACAGUACCGGGAGAAUAAGCCCCGGCUAACUCCGUG
rnacentral:rRNA from 1 species